AUUGAACGCUGGCGGCAGGCCUAACACAUGCAAGUCGAGCGGAUGAAGGGAGCUUGCUCCUGGAUUCAGCGGCGGACGGGUGAGUAAUGCCUAGGAAUCUGCCUGGUAGUGGGGGAUAACGUCCGGAAACGGGCGCUAAUACCGCAUACGUCCUGAGGGAGAAAGUGGGGGAUCUUCGGACCUCACGCUAUCAGAUGAGCCUAGGUCGGAUUAGCUAGUUGGUGGGGUAAAGGCCUACCAAGGCGACGAUCCGUAACGGGCCUGAGGGGAUGAUCAGCCACACUGGAACUGAGACACGUGCCAGACUCCUACGGGAGGCAGCAGUGGGGAAUAUUGGACAAUGGGCGAAAGCCUGAUACAGCAAUGCCGCGUGUGUGAAGAAGGUCUUCGGAUCGUAAAGCUCUUUUAGUUGGGAGGAAAGGCAGUAAGUUAAUACCUUGCUGUUUUGACGUUACCAAAAGAAUAAGCAACGGCUAACUUCGUG
rnacentral:rRNA from 1 species